GGCAGCACGGAGCUUGCUCUGGUGGCGAGUGGCGAACGGGUGAGUAAUAUAUCGGAACGUACCCUGGAGUGGGGGAUAACGUAGCGAAAGUUACGCUAAUACCGCAUACGAUCUAAGGAUGAAAGUGGGGGAUCGCAAGACCUCAUGCUCGUGGAGCGGCCGAUAUCUGAUUAGCUAGUUGGUAGGGUAAAAGCCUACCAAGGCAUCGAUCAGUAGCUGGUCUGAGAGGACGACCAGCCACACUGGAACUGAGACACGGUCCAGACUCCUACGGGAGGCAGCAGUGGGGAAUUUUGGACAAUGGGCGAAAGCCUGAUCCAGCAAUGCCGCGUGAGUGAAGAAGGCCUUCGGGUUGUAAAGCUCUUUUGUCAGGGAAGAAACGGUGAGAGCUAAUAUCUUUUGCUAAUGACGGUACCUGAAGAAUAAGCACCGGCUAACUACGUGCCAGCAGCCGCGGUAAUACGUAGGGUGCAAGCGUUAAUCGGAAUUACUGGGCGUAAAGCGUGCGCAGGCGGUUUUGUAAGUCUGAUGUGAAAUCCCCGGGCUCAACCUGGGAAUUGCAUUGGAGACUGCAAGGCUAGAAUCUGGCAGAGGGGGGUAGAAUUCCACGUGUAGCAGUGAAAUGCGUAGAUAUGUGGAGGAACACCGAUGGCGAAGGCAGCCCCCUGGGUCAAGAUUGACGCUCAUGCACGAAAGCGUGGGGAGCAAACAGGAUUAGAUACCCUGGUAGUCCACGCCCUAAACGAUGUCUACUAGUUGUCGGGUCUUAAUUGACUUGGUAACGCAGCUAACGCGUGAAGUAGACCGCCUGGGGGAGUACGGUCGCAAGAUUAAAA
rnacentral:rRNA from 1 species